rnacentral:rRNA from 1 species
GACACGACUCUCGGCAAUGGAUAUCUCGGCUCUCGCAUCGAUGAAGAGCGCAGCGAAAUGCGAUACUUGGGAUGAA